GACAAGAAAUAACAAUACAGGGCAAUUGUCUUGUAAUUGGAAUGAUGGUGACCUAAACCCUCACCAGAGUAACAAUUGGAGGGCAAGUCUGGUGCCAGCAGCCGCGGUAAUUCCAGCUCCAAUAGCGUAUAUUAAACUUGUUGCAGUUAAAAAGCUCGUAGUUGAAUUUUUGCGUGGUGUUAAUAUUGACUGAUGUCGACUUUGCACUUCGCUUUUGGGAUUUUUCCCUUUUUACUUUGAGAAAAUUAGAGUGUUUCAAGCAGACUUUUGUCUUGAAUACUUCAGCAUGGAAUAAUAGAGUAGGACUUUGGUUCUAUUUUGUUGGUUUGUGAACCUUAGUAAUGGUUAAUAGGAACGGCUGGGGGCAUUCAUU
rnacentral:rRNA from 1 species